rnacentral:rRNA from 1 species
GUGGGGAAUAUUGGACAAUGGGCGCAAGCCUGAUCCAGCCAUGCCGCGUGAGUGAUGAAGGCCCUAGGGUUGUAAAGCUCUUUCACCGGUGAAGAUAAUGACGGUAACCGGAGAAGAAGCCCCGGCUAACUUCGUGCCAGCAGCCGCGGUAAUACGAAGGGGGCUAGCGUUGUUCGGAAUUACUUGGCGUAAAGCGUACGUAGGCGGGUAUUUAAGUCAGGGGUGAAAUCCCGGAGAUCAACUCCGGAACUGCCUUUGAGACUGGGUACCUAGAGUAUGGAAGAGGUACGUGGAAUUCCGAGUGGAGAGGUGCAAUUCGUAGAUAUUCGGAGGAACACCAGUGGCGAAGGCGGCUUACUGGUCCAUUACUGACGCUGAGGUGCGAAAGCGUGGGGAGCAAACAGGAUUAGAUACCCCAGUAGUCC